rnacentral:lncRNA from 1 species
GUUUAAUUAUACUUUUUUACUAAAUUUGGUAGUCUUUUAGUAGGAAUUACCAUUCACUAGCUACCAUUUACUGAGAGGCUACUUACUAUGUGACAGCCACUAUGCCAAGAGAUUUUCUAUAUAUAAUUUCUCACUUAAUCUUUAGAACAAAUCCAAGAAGAUGCCCCUGCUGUACCUGUUUUAGAGAUGAGGCCGUUGAGGUUCAGAGAGGUUGAGUAACUUACACGAGUUGAUCUUUCUUACUCACUGCUGGUGACUGUUAGAACCUUUCUCUUAAAUCCUCAACUGUAAGGCUAGUGGAUGUACAUAACCAGUUAUGAAAUUUCUAUGGUAUUUAAAGUG